rnacentral:lncRNA from 1 species
CUUGAUGGACAUGAGUUGAGCAAGCUCCGGGAGUUGGUGAUGGACAGGGAGGCCUGGCUGGCUGCAGUCCAUGGGGUCGCGAAAGAGUUGGACACGACUGAGCGACUGAACAACAAGAACAGAAACUAAGACAAAGGAAAGAUAAGACAGCGCCCGAGCACAGCUGUGUCCCACACGGUUCAGUCCUGCAGCCACUCUCCGUGCGCUGGAGUGUGAGGAGGAAGUGAGCCUCUGAGUGCUGGAGUGUGAGGAGGAGCGCGUUUACUACGGCAUCAUUGAGACCCAUUCCCAACAAGAUCCGGAACAAGAAAGGAGGGGGCAGGUGGGGAGCCAGCCUCCUCCCCCCUGUCCCUCACCCCCAGCUCCAACCAGGACCCCCCACCCCGGCUCAGCUCGUGAGAAGUUGCAGAGUCUGAAGUCCACCGAGGGGCUUUCCGGCCAGGCUCCCAUGCCAAAACCAAGGCCAGAGGCUGCAGCGCGCAGGAAGAGGCAGCCAAGAGCCCAGCCCUACCCAAUGGGGAAACUGAGGCACAGAGCCAUGCCACGACUUGCAGAGGCCCUGCAGGGCAGUCAACCAACCCCUGGGGUGUGGGGGGUGGAUGAGCCUUUUGCUGCGCCCCUUUGGGGAAGCCUGCGGAUUCCCUUCCCAGCACACGAUUUGUAAAUGCAUAAAAUAAAAGGCAUCGUGCUGCAGAGCAAACCAUUUCCACUGAAAUACAGCUACCGAAACAACAGCAAGCGUAGCUGCUUAUGCAGCAAUGAAUGAGGCUUCUCGCUGGUGUGCUAAUGGAGAUCCAAAGAUAGGUCUCUUGACCACCAGUAUGGAA